AAUUAAAGCCACAACCGAAGAAAGGGAAGAAGAAGACAAAGAAGGAUGUCAUUGUGCUAUACGAAGAAAAGAAGAACAAAUGUCCUCUUUACCAGGCCUUCUUUACCUGUGUUCCACUCGCAGUGUACGUAUCAGGGGUUGGUCCAUACUUAGUGAGUUUAGCUGAGAGUGCUUUUCCGGAUCAAGGGAUUGGGUACAUGUUCAAUAUUGCUGCACCCACAGCAGUGGUGUUUGCUUUGUACGCCAUCGUUAUCAUGUGGGGCCUCAGGUGGGUCACAUAAUUAGUAUUUACAAAGGACAUGGUGUUAAAGUUCCACAUAAUCAAGUGGCCGGGGUAUAAGUCUAGUGUUACUGUGGAUCCGAGGGGAAUGUGGGUACAUAGAGAAUGCAAAAAAAGGUUACUCAAUAGCCAAGCGGAUCUUUGGAUUAACUAUACGUUGAAUAUUAAGCGGGGAACUAUCGAACGAAGGGACAUUUUAGAUAAAUUAUUCGGAAAAUUUGAUCCUAAAAAGCAUAAAAAACUCAUGCAACAAGUGAAAGAACUUUGAUAAUGAAUUUUUACGAGUCUAAGUUUAUAAUUUACUUUAUAUUUUUAAGUUGUUAAUAUCUUUAUUUGGGGUGGUGAUUGUUUUUGUAACUUACUAACUUAUUAUGAUGCCAGCA